GCCCUGGUGGCACCAUGGUUAAGUGCUCAGCUGCUAACUGAAAGGUUGGUGGUUUGAAUCCACUCAGUGGCU
rnacentral:tRNA from 1 species